rfam:Ornithorhynchus anatinus chromosome 10, whole genome shotgun sequence.
AGCAGCGUGGCUCAGUGGUAAGAGCCUGGGCUUCGGAGUCAGAGGUCAUGGGUUCGAUUCCCGGAUCUGCCG